UCAGUCCUAGUGAAAGAGGCGUUGUCUCUCUGUCUGUCAGUCACAGUGAAGGAGGCGUGGUCUCUGUGUCUG